GAUUUACUCGCUUACAACAAUUUUUUAUUGUUGUAAGCUUUUAAAAAAUUUUGUGUAUUCAUUCCACUAAGUGUUAAGGAACUACUAACUUUCACUUAAAAUUUGCUUUCUAUCAUAUGAAAUUAUGGCUUAUGAACUUUGCCAGUUUAUAACUGAUGACGGAAGUUUCAGUCUUUACCUUGAAUUCAAAAGACGAGAAUUCUUUUGUUGUAUUACUAAGCUAUAUCCUUCUGCCUAUAUCAGCUUUUAACUUGGAACUCUAAACUUUAUACUGCUCUGCAAAUACAAGUAGUAUUUUGCUAUUGGGUUUAGAGGUUUAUCCUGUUUAGAUGUGAUACGUAGAUCUCUGCCUAUAUUAACUGAUUAAAUUAAUAGAACCUUCAUGUAUCUUACAAUUUUUUGUAACAGUU
rnacentral:misc_RNA from 1 species